CUCUACACUGAAACAGGUGAAAACUUGAGCGCACUGACUGUAACAUGUUCGAGGAGGCUGCAACCAAUGGUCACUCCAUCAACUUGGAGGAUGUGACUGUCUCCAGGACCAUCACCACUCACUCCAGUCAGGCACGUCUGUCUGCUGGACGUCUAGCUCGUAUUGACUGGAUUUCAGCUGAUUUGUUGUCUGAGAUUUGAGGGAUGUCUGAGUGCUGCUGUUUGUGAAAUAGAAGAGAGUUUAAGGACAUCCAAGACAUCAUCGGUCUACUCUGCUGCCUGAGUCAUCGGGCAUCAAGGCAGGAUACACCCUGGAUGGAGUGCUAACCCAGGGCGCUCAUACACUACAGGCAAUUUAGAGACUCCAAUCAGCCUAGAUGCAUGUCUGUCACCAAGCACAGGGAGCGGGAGCAAGAACCUAGGAUGCUGGAGGUGUGAGGCGAACAUGCUAACCACUAAGCCACUGUUCCACCUUUAAACUGCACGUCUCUAAAUUUUUACACUUUGUACUGUUGCUGCAGUGUGAAGAGUGUUUAAAUAGCUUCUCAAACAAUACAGCAAAUUUACACCAGAAAACAGCUCAGUGCCUUAAAUCUGGACAUUUAUCAAAUCUGGACGUUUUGCAGGUAUGUAAGGUGUGUAAGUGACUGUACCUGUAUUCCAGGUGUCUCUGCUCUAUCCGCAAGCCAGCGUGCCGUGU